rnacentral:rRNA from 1 species
AUUGAACGCUGGCGGCAGGCCUAACACAUGCAAGUCGAACGAGUGGCGGACGGGUGCGUAAUGUCUGGGAAACUGCCUGAUGGAGGGGGAUAACUACUGGCAAUGGUAGCUAAUACCGCAUACCAUCAGAUGUGCCCAGAUGGGAUUAGCUAGUUGGUGGGGUAACGGCUCACCAAGGCGACGAUCCCUAGCUGGUCUGAGAGGAGGACCAGACACACUGGAACUGCGACACGGUCCCGACUCCUACGGGAGGAAGCAGUGGGGAAUAUUGCAAAAUGGGGGCAAGCCUGAGGCAGCCAUGCCGCGUGUAUGAAGAAGGCCUUCGGGUUGUAAAGUACGUUCAGCGGGGAGGCGUUACCCGCAGAAGAAGCACCGGCUAACUCCGUGCCAGCAGCCGCGGUAAUUC